CAGUCGUGGGGACCCUGCAGGCUGUAAGGACAGAUGGGCAUCCUGCUCUUCAUUUGGCCCACGGAGUCGCCUUAGAGAGCUGGGCACGUUAGGCGACAGCUCCAGAAGUUGUUUCUUAACUUUAGACGCUACUCCAAUUCAAUUUGUUCACCAACCUCAUCUCGGGCGGGACCUAAUGCUUUGUGUAUUCGCAUCAGCCAUUGAUGGACUAGAGACCCAAUUGUCUGCUCGGACGCUCCAUUCCUCCGUGUGAAAAGGGGGUGGAUGAAAGCAAGAGGACCCCUCUAUUCGUCAAUCAGGUGCCAGCCAAGAGCCGAAGAACUUGUACAGGGGUCAAGAAUACCCACAACACUCACAAGACCUUCAGGAACAGUCAUCUCCCCCUGGGGCAGAUAAAGUCAGACCAGACGGAGGAGCUAGAUUCCAUCCGGAGGGAGCUGAGCAAGAUCAAAGCCCGGGUGGACAGCCUGUUGGAGAGUCUGGAGUCCAUGGAGCAGCAGAGGGACCAGCGCGUGAGUCAGGUGAAGAAUCUCGCAUCAGACCAGAAUAGCCAGUAGGAGGUGGGGAACCUUCCAGACUUUCUUCACUGGUACUCUUGGGUGGCUUGUUUUCUUGCCUUGUAUUUUUGGAAGGCCCCCUAGUCACUCCCAUGCGACUUGAAGUCACCUUUCUGGAGCUUGGGUAUUGAAAGUCUGAAGCACGGUACAGCCAGCCCACCCAGAAAACCUCCCCCUCCCGGUAGUCGUGGGUUUAACUCUCUUUUUCCAUGAGUCUUGCUGUGGGCAGGGUAGGGAAGCCACACAGACCAGCAGUGCCUAUUUUCAUUCAACUGUGGUGGUCUUGCAGGAGGCACACGACAGGGCCCUGAGCCCAAAAGGCACUAUUAGCUCUCAUGGAAUGAAAACUGUCUCUUCCCCACACAACACUAAACCUGAUGGUGUGCGCCCACCUAAGCAACCUCUUUUGGUUAAACCCACCAUGUGCUCUAUGAAGCCAUAAGCUAUCCUUCAGAAUAAAGGAGCAUUUAUGUCUCUA
rnacentral:lncRNA from 1 species